CCGAGACUCGCCGGCAGCCAACCUGCAAAACGGAGGCGCACAGAAAACUUUCUUUUUCACAAUCUGUCAGUCUUUCCAGAUCUCCACCUACAACGAACAGUCUGGUGGAAAAUGUGGCUACACACCCCGAUCCCUCUCACUUCAUUUUCUACACCUUACUGGAGGAGCCUCCUCGAAACAAUUUCCCCGGAUUGUUCUUACUGGCAGACCCCAGUUUCCAGCCGAAUAAACUUGCUGAGAUCGUC